AUAUGUUAUCAAGUGUCAGGACAAGUUUAUAAUUUUAUGUACUAUGUAAAGGCUGUGUAAUGUGUUUGAUGGGCGCGCGCGUUGAACAUUCGAGGCGCAUUUAAACUGUGGAGGGAGUUACCAUGGAAACGGGGCGGCAACACAGCUGAGAAGUAGCAAAUCUCUCCGUCUCUCACUGUUGUUUUUACUGCUUUCAGAAAUGGUUCAGUGUCAUGGGAAUAAGUCCGUUAGCAUCACAACCGUGAGCUAACAGAGGCUAACUAUAAGAGGUGUUUGAUUUGUGAGCAUAGCCGCUCGAGGGAGGCUUUAAGACUAAGCGGAAUCCUCUGCCGGCUGGUCGCGCGCUCCCGCUUCACAGCGAGCGGGUCUCGCGCUAACCGAGUUAGGUGUUUUUAAAGUCCGCGUUUCGACUUCAGCUAACAGUUAAUCAGUUUGGGAGAAUGCAAACAACGUGAUUCCAACAUCCAGCCAUGCAAGAAAACGUGCAUUUUACCUGAGGGAAGACAGAAUCAAUAAGGAAAGUCGUCUUUCUUUAAUGUAGAGUUGGAGUGGACCUCUUGUUGAAGAACUUCUCCAGGCACUAUGAACCAUCUGACUAGUAAGAAAAACCUCAAACAUUCAGAAGUUUAUCAGAUAUUAAAAAUAUAUGUCAAAUAAAUAUCAAAUAUUUUUUGAGUCCUGUAUGUCUUACAAGGCCAUCCUGUUUAACACUGCACUGAGGACACUACAACCAGAGAGGUACAACAUAAUUCAAAAUGAGACACAGAUGAUAAUAAAAAAGUGGUUUGAAAUGAAAAUGAAUACUGGUAAGACAGAACCGAGUACUGUGACUGUGCCUCACUUCAAAGUGAAACAGUCUGUAAUGGUCAUCUGCCAUGCCAGAUCGAUGGUGAAGGUGGGAAUUAUAAGUACGAUUUUCUAAACUUUAAAUGUAGUAAAGUGUUUGUUCAAGUAGACUUUGUUGCUUGUGGAAACUUCACACAAGCCUGAAAGGUGCUUU
ensembl:lncRNA